rnacentral:rRNA from 1 species
AGUUUGAUCCUGGCUCAGAAUCAACGCUGGCGGCGUGCCUCAGACAUGCAAGUCGAACGCGAAAUUUCCCUUCGGGGAGAAAGUAGAGUGGCGCACGGGUGAGUAACACGUAGGUAAUCUACCUUCGGAUGGGGAAUAACAAUCGGAAACGGUUGCUAAUACCGCAUAAUGCAGCGGCACCUAAUGGUGACAGUUGUUAAAGCGGGGGAUCGAAAGACCUCGCGUCUGAAGAGGAGCCUGCGGCGGAUUAGCUAGUUGGUAAGGUAAUGGCUUACCAAGGCAACGAUCCGUAACCGGCCUGAGAGGGCGGUCGGUCACACUGACACUGACAUACGGGUCAGACUCCUACGGGAGGCAGCAGUCGGGAAUUUUGGGCAAUGGGCGAAAGCCUGACCCAGCAACGCCGCGUGAAGGAUGAAAUCCCUCGGGAUGUAAACUUCGCAAGAAUGAGAAGAAUAAGUAGGGGACAAUACCCCCUAUGAUGACGGUAUCAUUUGUAAGCUCCGGCUAACUCCGUGCCAGCAGCCGCGGUAAUACGGGGGGAGCAAGCGUUGUUCGGAUUUACUGGGCGUAAAGGGCGCGUAGGCGGCCAGCACAAGUCAGUUGUGAAAUCUCCGAGCUUAACUCGGAAAGGUCAACUGAUACUGUGCGGCUAGAGUGCAGAAGGGGCAACUGGAAUUCUUGGUGUAGCGGUGAAAUGCGUAGAUAUCA